AUGGCUUGCAGGAUUUUCCGGGUAACGACAACAAAGUGCAGAUCCCAAGCAAUAUCAACUAUAGUGCCACAUAUUCCACAAAUUCAUGAGACAAAAUCAUUAUAUUCAUCAAAUGCGGAUUAUGCAAGAAACACAAAAGAAAUAGAACCUGGAUCCAAGACUGAGAUACACAGAAAACCAGAGAUGAGAUA